rnacentral:lncRNA from 1 species
UGUUAGCCAGGAGGGCUUAGUUGCAAUAACUGCACAGUAAAUAGGGCCUGAGGAAAAGGCCAGUCAUCUGCAAGCAUCUGCAGUAAGCAUCCUUUGCCGCAGCUGGUUCUCGGUCUGGUGGGUAGAUCCCCGGACUGGGAUAAUUUUCUAGAUUUUUCUACUAGGAGGGUAGAGCAGAAUUGAGGCCAGUCUGAACGAGCAGUGAGGAGACUGUUACAGAACUCGCCUGAAACCAAUCCUGAGAACGGC